rnacentral:tRNA from 1 species
UGUUCUGUGGCUUAGUUGGUUAAAGCGCUGGUCUAGCGAAUACCGUGGGUUCAAAACCCACUAGAACUA